UACGUAGGGGGCAAGCGUUGUCCGGAAUCAUUGGGCGUAAAGCGCGUGUAGGCGGCCCGAUAAGUCCGCUGUGAAAGUCCAGGGCUCAACCCUGGAAUGCCGGUGGAUACUGUCGGGCUCGAGUCCGGAAGAGGCGAGUGGAAUUCCUGGUGUAGCGGUGAAAUGCGCAGAUAUCAGGAGGAACACCGAUGGCGAAGGCAGCU
rnacentral:rRNA from 1 species